GGGGCCAGGGGACCCCUGAGGAGUACUCUCUGCGCUCCUUCACCCCCUUCCUCCUGGAUUCUUGGCUUGUCCUCCACAGUCUCUCACCUCUCCAGUUCUUUGGCGAUUGCGCUCUCUUCUAAGAGGCUUUGCGCUGUAUCUCCUUGAAGAGACCUUGAAGUCCAACAGGCAAUGAUCAACUAUCCUGGGGCCUCUUUCACCAGAGUCUAGAGCUGCACCGCCCAACACAGUUGGCCACUUGCCACAUAUGGCUAUGUGGCCUUGCCGAAGUUCUCAGCAUACUCUUCAUCAUCUGUGAUCAGGAAGUUAUCGAAGAUGGUUCCGGAUCUCACCUGUGGAUGAAAAUGAGUCCUUCAUUACUGAUGCAAAAAAGGAAACUUUCUACAAAAUGAACGGUUGUAAUUUACUCAGUAUGAUCACAGUGAUUAGCUGUCAAGAGUAGAACAGGCUGAAACCCUUUUCUACAACAUCCAUUCCUUCCAGGGCACUGGUGCUCAAACUUGGCUGCAUACUGUUUUAAAAACUCCUGAUGGAACUCAGGAGUUCUGUGUCUUCAUGGAUACGGGGGAACCUGUGGUGUAGGUCACAGA